AUGCUUACUCGCGCAAAGCAUGGUCUCUUUCAGCCCAUUGAUCGUAUGAAUCUUAUGGCUUCCGACUCCACCCUUUCUCCUCUUCCAAAAACAUACCGGGGUGCUCUCAAUGACCCACACUGGCGUCGUGCUAUGCACGAUGAGUUCGAGGCGCUUGUUACUAACCGGAUGUGGUCAUUAGUCCCACGGCCACCUCGUGCUCAUGUUGUUUCACGGAAGUGGAUUUUCAAUCAUAAGUUUCAUUCCGAUGGACGUCUUGCUCGCUAUAAAGCUCGGUGGGUGGUCCACGGCUAUUCUCAACACCCGGGCAUCGACUUUGAUGAGACAUUCAGCUUGGUUGUCAAACCAGCCACCAACCGGAUCGUUCUCAGCCUUGCGGUGUCC
rnacentral:rRNA from 1 species